rnacentral:rRNA from 1 species
UACGUAGGGUGCAAGCGUUAAUCGGAAUUACUGGGCGUAAAGCGUGCGCAGGCGGUUUUGUAAGUCAGAUGUGAAAUCCCCGGGCUUAACCUGGGAACUGCGUUUGAAACUACAAGGCUAGAGUGUGGCAGAGGGGGGUGGAAUUCCACGUGUAGCAGUGAAAUGCGUAGAGAUGUGGAGGAACACCGAUGGCGAAGGCAAUCCCCUGGGCCUGCACUGACGCUCAUGCACGAAAGCGUGGGGAGCAAACAGG